rnacentral:rRNA from 1 species
UACGUAGGGGCUAGCGUUGUCCGGAAUCAUUGGGCGUAAAGCGCGCGUAGGCGGCCCGGUAAGUCCGUUGUGAAAGUCAAAGGCUCAACCUUUGAAAGCCGAUGGAUACUGCCGGGCUGGAGUCCGGAAGAGGCGAGUGGAACUUCCUGGUGUAGCGGUGGAAUGCGCAGAUAUCAGGAGGAACACCAGUGCGAAGGCGGCUC